CACACCUCCCUGCAUGUGACUUGCACAGCCUUCCAUAAACACUUCCUGUAAAGAGAGCCCUAUUUAGGCUUUCUUUAUUGCAAGUUCUGUUUAAUUAAGAUUUUCUUAAUUAAUAGCUUGCUAGACUAUGUUAAUAGCUUGCUAGACCCUGCAAGAGCCUCCUGUAUGUGAUUAAAGUUCAAUUUAGAGAUUGAGAUACAAUUAUUGAAGGUAAAUU